GGGUUGUGAGGUUAAGCGACUAAGCGUACACGGUGGAUGCCCUGGCAGUCAGAGGCGAUGAAGGRCGUGCUAAUCUGCGAUAAGCGCCGGUAAGGUGAUAUGAACCGUUAUAACCGGCGAUWYCCGAAUGGGGAAA
rnacentral:rRNA from 1 species